rnacentral:lncRNA from 1 species
CUUUUGAGCAGGUAACUCUUCUAUUGGGGCCAUAACUGAGGCAUAUUUUAAAUCAGAAAGGGAGAAUAUCGUUUUUAUUCUGAAUCUGAAUACUCCUUAAAAAUAAUAAUUCUUGGAUGGUAUUUUUGUAUUUAAUUCAUUUCAGUCUUUCCUGUGUGUUUAUUUUGUGUUCAGCCCUGCAUAGGUGAUAAAUUUGUAACCAUACCCCCUCUCUAGCCCAUCCCUCUUUAAUACCACCCUAGGACAAGACCAUGAAUAGUCCUGCCUUUCCUGGCCCCUCCAAUUCCUCCUUUCCCUGAGGUACAUACAGGCAUUGUGCAUACAGAAGUUACCUGUGUUUGUAAUUCACAAACCCCAAAGAGCAGUGAAGAAAAAAGGAAUGAAUCCUACAUGAUUACAAAGAAGGAGGGGACAAAGCUGGCUCCAGGUACUCAGUUAUUUCUGAGUAUUGCUCUGUGCCUGGCACUGUGCUGUACAUUGAGGAUAUGAAGAUGAGUAAGUCUCAGUCUAUAUCUUUAGAGACCUCACAGCCUGGAAGGAGAGUUAAAAAAUAAUUACUAUUCAACAUGGCAAUGGUUAUAAAGGAGCAGAUUUUCCAAACUGGUGUUUCAAGGAACAUUCUUUGGCAGGAUGUUAAAAAUGGGAAACAGCAAGCCUGAAAAAGGAAAUUGACGAAGAAACAACUUGGUUAUUCUUGACUCAGUGGCCAAGGAGGGAACACAGCCCAGAAUCUAAAAGUGACGCAGUUGGCAGAGCUGUGUGGUGCGGUGCUGGUUCCCAGGAACACAGCAAGAGGCACUUUACUGAGGGAACGCUGCGUGCCUGCAACUCUGCGUGGGAGACUUCAGCCACAAGUGGGUUUUUGUCUGUGUGUAAGUGCCAUUGAGUGAACCCAAGAAGGGAACAAACAAACCAGCCCUGAAUCUUUCUAGCACAUCUUCAGCUUUGCUCUCUUAUAUAUAGGAAAUUAGGGACAGUGCUUGGAGAACCUGCAGGAAAACUAAUCUAAAAGCCAGUCC